UACGUAGGGUGCAAGCGUUGUUCGGAAUUAUUGGGCGUAAAGAGCUUGUAGGCGGUUUGCCGCGUCUGCUGUGAAAUUUCGGGGCUCAACCCCGAACUUGCAGUGGGUACGGGCAGACUAGAGUGUGGUAGGGGAGACUGGAAUUCCUGGUGUAGCGGUGAAAUGCGCAGAUAUCAGGAGGAACACCGAUGGCGAAGGCAGAUCUCUGGGCCACUACUGACGCUGAGAAGCGAAAGCAUGGGGAGCGAACGGG
rnacentral:rRNA from 1 species